rnacentral:lncRNA from 1 species
AUGACCAUGUGCGAUGCAGAGAAGCGGCUCCUCGCCAACGCGCUUCUCGAUAUCUCCAACGAAUGGUUUGUCCUAGUCUCAGAGUCGUGCAUCCCUCUCUACAACUUCACAACGAUCUACACCUACUUAAGCCAAUCAAAACACAGCUUCAUCGGUGCUGUUGACGACCCUGGACCUUUCGGUCGAGGCCGGUACAACGAGAAGAUGGAACCUGAAGUUCCCAUCACCAAGUGGCGAAAAGGGCCACAAUGGUUUGAGGUAGGCCGGGACCUGGCAGCUACCAUCGUCAGAGACACGUUGUAUCACCAGAAAUUCAGAGAGUUCUGUAGACCCGCUUGCUAUUCAGACGAGCAUUAUUUCCCUACGAUGCUCACUAUUGAGAAACCGACGGCGUUGGCUAACCGGAGCGUGACGUGGACGGACUGGUCUAGAGGCGGGCCCCACCCGGCUACGUUUGGGAGAUCGGAUAUUACAGAGGAGUUCUUUGGAAAGAUCUUCGAUGGAACAAACUGCAGUUACAAUGGUCGUAACACUUCCAUGUGUUAUCUUUUUGCGAGGAAGUUUGCUCCUAGUGCUUUAGAGCCGCUGCUCCACAUUGCUCCCAAGAUUAUGGGGUUUUGAGUUAGUACAGUAGUGUCUAUGAUACGGACAGGAUAUGGAUUAUAUGAGAUAUUUUGCGCCAAUAUCCAUUUUAUUUGUUUGUUUUAUACAAGUUUGGAAUAAACGAGGUAUUAUAACUGAGAACGUUGCACAACAGGAUCUUGUAACUUUAGACGUCAAAAGAAAAAACUAUGUAGCUCAAUUUUUUUGGUUCCUGACGUUAAGCCCGAUGCUUAAAUUAGAUAAGAAGCUAUAAGGUUAGGUUAUAAGUUAGUGGUAAUUUGCUUACCGACCAAGGUUUUUGUUUGAAUACUGAAAUACUACCUACAGCACAAGUGGCAAUGGGAACAUAACACGGACACAGGUGUAUAAACACAUUUUUAACACAUUCACUCUCUUUUCCUUUAUUUUCUUUUUGUUAUUUUUUGUUUUAGAUAAAAAUCCAUAUUAAAAUAUUCUAACAAGAUUUUAUUAAUUUUUAUAGAACACAAGAAAAUUUCAUUACCAUUUUUAAUAUUCUAACUAAUUAGUUUAAUCAUUUUAAUAUAUGGAAAUUUAAUUUGAGCUUAUUAAACAUUUUGUGGUUUUAAGGGAAUAUUUAUAUUUUAUUUAAUAAAUAUUAAUAUUAUAUAUAAAUGGUAAACAAUACUAAUAUAUUUUUCUUUUUGCACAGUUUUUUAAAGCUGAUAUUACAAUUAUAAAUCAUAUUAAAUAGAUGAUUCCACGACCGAUAAUAUUAUUUAGGAAAAUUCAUGUUUAAAUGCAUUAUUCCAACCGUCUUAUAAAAAUUUGACCAUGUUUAUUUGCACAAUGCUAAAAUAAGUCUGUAAGCAUUCUCACCGAUAAUGUGUCUACUUGUUUAAUAAUCCGGAACUAGAAAAAGAGAGCUUACCCACUGUUUAGUAGCCUAUUUGACCUCAAUUGUUUUUGCAUUAACAUAUCGCCACGAGUCUUCUGCAUUCAUUAUUCGAUUACUUUUAGUUGCCCUUGAUACUUAAAGAUUGAUAUAGAGGCUCUCUAUAGUGUUCAAAGGAUGCAGUCUAUGGUUGUACAGUUGGAAGAAGGGAAAGAGAACGGAAUCUCGGUUAGGACAGAACAGUAUAAGUCAUUUAGACCGCAACUGCUUCUUGUCCUAGGUCUUUUUCUUGCUGGUGGUGUUACUAUCUUCAUCAUUAGUACAAACAAGUAUACUGGACUACAAAGUGUAGUAACCACAGUCACUUCUAGCUUUGUCCCACGCCGCGAGGAGGAGCCUGACGGUUUAAGUAAAUGGAUACAACCUCCUGGGGUUCUGAUGCAUAACAUGAGCGAUGAAGAGCUUCUUUGGCGAGCUUCUUUCUGGCCUCGGAGAAAAGGAUAUCCGUUUAAAAGGGUUCCAAAGAUUGCCUUUAUGUUCUUGACAAGAGGCCCCUUGCCUCUUGCUUCGCUUUGGGAGAGGUUUUUGAAAGGUCACAAGGGGCUUUACUCGGUUUACAUUCAUCCCCAUCCAUCUUAUACAGCCAAGUUUCCAGCUGAUUCUGUUUUCUACCAGAGGCAGAUACCAAGUCAGGUCCGUAAAUUUUUGUUAAUGCUUUUUUAACAAUAAAAUGUUCAAAUAGAUAAUGGCUUUGUAAUUAUUUUAAUUUGUAUUUAUUAAAAAUUAUUUAUAAUAUUUAAGUUUAAACUAGAUUUUGACCCGCCCUUUCAAAGGGCGGGAUUUAUGUCCUUUUCAAAUUCUAUAAAUUCUAAAAUUUUAAGUUCUAUUAUGUCAUAGGUAGCUAAUCUUCUCAACGGCUACACAAAGCCAUGCCUAAAAGUCAUUCUUCUCAUGCAUUAUUUUGGGGUCACAAAUUUUUAAAAAUUAUAGUUUAAUGGUUUAGACUUUUUGUUGUAAAAAACACUUCGAGGAGAGUUCAACUAAUUCACUUUCUGAAAUUAACUAUUUUAUCUAUAUGAUAUAAGCAUAUUUAUAUUAUAAAAUUAUUUUUAACAGUUUUAGAUUUGUGUAUUUGGUGAAAAUGAUAUAUAUAUAUAUAUAUAUAAGUUAUAUAUAGUUAUAAAUAAGUUUUUUUUUGAAACUUGCCUUUAAGUCCUAAAAUCAUUCUCAUGGCACUGCGGCUAGGUCUCAUGUCUUCCGUAGGAGUGACGGUGAAUGUUGCUUCGAUCUUCUUGAAGAAGUCCGAGAUGUGAUUCCAAAAUAUGCUCAUCUUCACUGUUCUUUUCUUAAAAUACUUCGGUUCGCGGUUUAGAACCUCAACUCCACUACUAUGAAACAUAUAAAUUAAUUAAGGGUUUUCAUCGUUGAUCAAGAAACAAAAAAAUGAAAGUUGGAAGUUAGUUAAGGGUCAUUUACCUGCAGUAAAUGAGAACGAAUCAUGAUUGUAGGCUUGUAGCACUUCCAUUCUCUCUUCCUGGUAAAUAUUUAAUUGAUUCGUCUUCCGGAGAUUCUAUGUCAGCACCUCCAUUAAAAGAACCGUGUAGCAUUGAUAGAAAAUAUAUCGAAGAUUUUAACACUGCCCUUCUAUAUGUUUUUGUAAGUACUGUAUAUGUUUUGUGGGUUUGAUUAUAAUCCUCUAUCGAUGAAUGUGUUUAUAUAGAGAGAGACUUCAGUGCAAUUUUCUUAAAAUAAUGGUCAAUAUAUUAUAGGAAUAGAAUCAUUUAGUUUAGGAAGUCCCUAUAUUAUUGGUGAUACAAUAUAUUUUAAAAUAGCUUAAAAUAUAAAACUAAUAAUUGAUACUAAUCUCAUGAGCAAAAUCAUAACUACUAUAUAUGGUUUCAAGUUACUAUAAAAUAGGAACAGCGAUAUUUAAUUUAAAUAUUCCUACAGUAUUUAAUGGUGUAGUUAAUACUUAAAUUGUUACCCAAGUUGAAAAUCGUGGAUUUUAAAACGUCUUGUCUAUGAUUGGUCGAAUAUAUAAUUGUAAUAUUUAAAAAUACAUCUAAAAAUGGCAGUGGCAUUCUAUUGUAAAUAACUUCAAAAAAUAAGGGUAUAAUCCUAUUAGGGAUUCUGCUUUAAUAGUAUAGAUAUUUUUGCUACUAGUAACAAAUAUUUCUAGAUCCGCCAUUAAUAUCUAGAAAACAUCAUUGCGCAGCUUGCACAAUGGGGGAGAAUGAACAUGUGCGAGGCAGAGAGGCGGCUUCUCGCCAACGCCCUGCUAGAUAUUUCCAACGAAUGGUUUGUUCUAGUCUCAGAGUCAUGCAUCCCCCUCUUCAACUUCACAACAAUCUACACCUACUUAAGCCAAUCAAAACACAGCUUCAUGGAUGCUUUCGAUGACAAUGGACCCUUCGGUCGAGGCCGCUACAACGACAACAUGGAACCCCAAGUUCCCA